AAAUAUUAGCAAGACAAUUAAUGAUGAUAACUAUAGUCGUCAACAAUAAUCAUGGCACCAAUUUAUUCCGAACCGAGAAACGAAGCAGAUUGACCUAUUUACAAACAAUGGGUCAAGUCAAAAUAAUCAUGAAAUCUCUCUCGUUUCAGAAGAUAGAACAAUCAGAACAUGGUGGAUCAUCUACAAGUAGAUCCAAUGAAGCUGGAAAGCAAUACAUCAAUAAUUGACUAUGUGAUGAAACAAUAACGUUCAUUCAUGUUACAGAAUUUUUCAUUAUUUACGUUCCUUCAACAUGAUUUUUCUGUAGAAGCUGAUUUGACAUCAGCAUUUGUCAUCUCGAGGCUUUUUCGAGACUAAUGGAUUUAAGUUUUUAGUAUCUAAGUGGAUAAAAGUAUAUGCAUCUUUUCGAACAUUCACUUCUAUUGUGACUCCUAGAGAUUAUUCUUGUCCUAAUAUGGAACCUCUUUCCUGUCUGCUUGUCCUUCUUAGUUCUUUCUUGAGUUUUAAUUUAUUGAAGAAAAUAGAAAAGAACAAUUGAUUCAUUCAAGUAUGGCGAUCAAAGAGAAUCUUUACAAAUGGAUAUUAUGAAAUAUGCAGCUUAACCUAUGAGCUUGACAAGUGGAGCCAAGCAAAAU